rnacentral:rRNA from 1 species
UACGAAGGGGGCUAGCGUUGCUCGGAAUCACUGGGCGUAAAGCGCACGUAGGCGGAUCUUUAAGUCAGGGGUGAAAUCCCAAGGCUCAACCUUGGAACUGCCUUUGAUACUGGGGAUCUCGAGUCCGGAAGAGGUUGAUGGAACUGCGAGUGUAGAGGUGAAAUUCGUAGAUAUUCGCAAGAACACCAGUGGCGAAGGCGGCCAACUGGUCCGGUACUGACGCUGAGGUGCGAAAGCGUGGGGAGCAAACAGG